GAGGAUAGAAGCCCUAAAGUGAAAUUGACCGCGUGUAAACCUAAUUGGGGAUAAAAGAAACGCGCUGGCGAAGUCGGUUCGGCAAUCCGACGCUCCUACGCGAAGAUAUCGCCAAAAGAAGAUUUUCGGCGUCGAAAGUCGCGAGCGCGGGUCGCGAUUCUCGGGAAAGCGCUAGAAGCGCAUUUCUCCCAUUCCGGCAUCAAAGAAAGGUUCCAGUGCGAGUAUUGUGGCCGAGGAUCGAGGCAAGAGCCAGCAGCCUAGCUAGUGGACACCCGAGUACUAGUGGUAUACCAUUUGGGUUCAUGUAUUAUCUAUUUCGAUGUACAGAGACAUGUAAAUGAUUGUAUAUAAAGCAUGUAGUAACUAAAUGUUUCAGUUAUGUAAAGUUUUAAAUUACAGUGGAUUUCAUGUUUA